CCUACGGGAGGCAGCAGUGGGGAAUAUUGGACAAUGGGGGGAACCCUGAUCCAGCCAUGCCGCGUGUGUGAAGAAGGCCCUCGGGUUGUAAAGCACUUUCAGUGAGGAAGAACGCCUGGUGGUUAAUACCCAUCAGGAAAGACAUCACUCACAGAAGAAGCACCGGCUAACUCCGUGCCAGCAGCCGCGGUAAUACGGAGGGUGCGAGCGUUAAUCGGAAUUACUGGGCGUAAAGCGCGCGUAGGUGGCUUGAUAAGCCGGUUGUGAAAGCCCCGGGCUCAACCUGGAACGGCAUCCGGAACUGUCAAGCUAGAGUGCAGGAGAGGAAGGUAGAAUUCCCGGUGUAGCGGUGAAAUGCGUAGAGAUCGGGAGGAAUACCAGUGGCGAAGGCGGCCUUCUGGACUGACACUGACACUGAGGUGCGAAAGCGUGGGUAGCAAACAGGAUUAGAUACCCUGGUAGUC
rnacentral:rRNA from 1 species